rnacentral:tRNA from 1 species
CAAAAAGUAGCUUACCAAAGCACUCAGCUUACGCCUGAGAGACGCCCACCAAGGGGCCUUUUUGC